rnacentral:sRNA from 25 species
CCCGCCAAGCUUCUUUUAUAGCUCAAAUAGGCGGGA